GGUUUUGUGUGCUAAUGUCUCAUGCCUCAUAGAAGAGCAAGAGUGGCUAGACAACUUGUGAAGAAGCACUACUCUAGAUUACCUCAGAUGGCAACUAUGUGCCCUGAACUGCUGUGAGGGUAUUUCUGGGAUCAUCAGCCAUCCCAUGGGGGAAAUGAGUCAGCAAAAGCGAGCCUGGAGUUUUGUCCUUACCCUUUGCUGCCUGGCCACAAGCUCAGCUGCAUGCGGUGAAGGUGAUGCAGUCAGAACUUGGCAAAACAGAAGCUGUGCGUCAUUUAACUUACCUAGGUGACUGAUGGAGCAGAAAAACUAACGACCCAUGAAGGAACAAAUGUUUCUCAAACAAAAGGUAAAUAAAUCUGAUAAUGGAGCUGUAAGGAUGGGUGAAAACCAGAGGUUGUAAGUGCCCUUAAAUCCCCCUGAAACUGCGGUCUCAGACCUUCUAUUUCUAUGAGGAGGAGAAAAGCAAUAACUUUGGGGGUGUCGAAAGCUGUGAUGCAGAGAAAAUUAAUGUUUACAUCAUUUUAAAAUGCAUACAGUUUGUAAUACACAUUGAGAGCUAGCUGAGCACAAAACUGCAAAAUGCAUUGCAUUGUAAGUGCACUGCAAUGGCUGCAGAGAGCCCCCGGGUCGCACUGCCGGGAUGGGAUGUCAGCUGGAUCCAACGGUGCCAUAAGAAUUCCUCAUCAAGGUGUGUUUAAACUCCAAGAAUACAAAAUCAUUUUCCAUUAAGUAUGAUAGCUACAUACUCAUUUUUAGUGUUCUCCUUUCUCAUGCUAUUCACUUUAUUGCUGUCCACCUCCGGAUUUCUGCUAUUAUGGGAUUUCUUACUGGGCUGAUGCUUGGCCAAUAUUUGUCCGACUUCUCUUUUUUUUUUUGUCUCCUGUGAA